GACGACGCUGGCGGCGUGGAUUAGGCAUGCAAGUCGAACGGUAUCAUCCUUCGGGGGUGAGAGAGUGGCGAACUGGUGAGUAACACGUAGGUUAUCUACCCUCAAGACGGGGGACAACCCAGGGAAACUUGGGCUAAUACCGGAUGUGAGCAACUUUUAGUUGUUUGAAAGGUGGCGUAAGCUGUCGCUUGGGGAUGAGCCUGCGUCCUAUUAGUUAGUUGGUGAGGUAACGGCUCACCUAGGCAAUGAUAGGUAGGCGGCCUUAACGGGUGGUCGCCCACACUGGGAUUGAGAUACGGCCCAGACUCCUACGGGAGGCAGCAGUCGAGAAUAGUCUACAAUGGUCGGAAGACUGAUAGUGCGACGCCGCGUGAACGAUGAAUCCCUUCGGGGUGUAAAGUUCUUUUAUAUGUGAGCAGUGCUUCUUAUAUUAACAGUAUGGGAGAGAGAUAUUAGCAUAUGAAUAAGCAACGGCUAACUCCGUG
rnacentral:rRNA from 1 species